rnacentral:tRNA from 1 species
UCUGGGGAUAUAGCUCAAUGGUAGAUCACUUGCCUUACAUGUGCAAGGCUCUGGGUUCAAUCCCCAGUACUAGAG